rnacentral:rRNA from 1 species
CCGCCAGACCCCACUGCUAUCGGGAUAGGACUAAGACAUGCUAGUUGAGCGCUUCCAGCCAAUACGGGAGCGCAGCGCACAGCUCAGUAACACGUGGCUAAUCUGCCCUUGGGACCGGAACACCCCCGGGAAACUGGGGCUAAUUCUCGAUAGGUGAAGAACUCUGGAAUGAGUCUUUGCCAAAAAGACGUUUACGUUAUGCUCGUAAGCGUCGCCCAAGGAUGAGGCCGCGACCGAUCAGGUUGUUGGUGAGGUAAUGGCUCACCAAGCCUUUUACCGGUGCGGGCCGUGAGAGCGGGAGCCCGGAGAUGGGCACUGAGACAAGGGCCCAGGCCCUACGGGGCGCAGCAGUCGCGAAAACUUUGCAAUACACGAAAGUGUGACAGGGCUAUCCCGAGUGCCAUCCGCUGAGGAAGGCUUUUACCCAGUCUAGAACGCUGGGGGAAUAAGGAGAGGGCAAGUCUGGUGUCAGCCGCCGCGGUAAUACCAGCUCUCCGAGUGGUGUGGAUGUUUAUUGGGCCUGAAGCAUCCGUAGCUGGCUGAGUUAGUCCCUUGUUAAAUCCACCGAAUUAAUCGUUGGAUUGCGGGGGAUACUGCUCGGCUAGGGGACGAGAGAGGCAGACGGUAUUUCUGGGGUAGGGGUGAAAUCCUAUAAUCCCAGGAGGACCACCAGUGGCGAAAGCUGUCUGCUAGAACGCGCCCGACGGUGAGGGAUGAAAGCUGGGGGAGCGAACCGGAUUAGAUACCCGGGUAGUCCCAGCUGUAGACGAU